rnacentral:rRNA from 1 species
GAUGAACGCUGGCGGCGUGCUUAACACAUGCAAGUCGAACGAAGUGGCGAACGGGUGAGUAACGCGUAAUCAACCUGCCCUUCAGAGGGGGAAAACAGUUGGAAACGACUGCUAAUACAGCAUACUGAAGGAGGGGCUUGCGUCUGAUUAGCUAGUUGGGGGGGUAACGGCCAACCAAGGCGAUGAUCAGUAGCCGGGCUGAGAGGAUGAACGGCCAAAUUGGGACUGAGAACCGGCCCAGACUCCUACGGGAGGCAGCAGUGGGGAAUCUUCCGCAAUGGACGAAAGUCUGACGGAUCAACGCCGCGUGAGUGAUGACGGCCUUCGGGUUGUAAAGCUCUGUUAAUCGGGACGCGGUACCGGAAUAGAAAGCCACGGCUAACUACGUGCCAGCCGCCGCGGUAAUAC